rnacentral:rRNA from 1 species
AACGAACGCUGGCGGCAUGCCUAACACAUGCAAGUCGAACGAGACCUUCGGGUCUAGUGGCGCACGGGUGCGUAACGCGUGGGAACCCGCCCUUAGGUUCGGAAUAACUCCCCGAAAGGGGUGCUAAUACCGGAUAAUGUCUUCGGACCAAAGAUUUAUCGCCUUUGGAUGGGCCCGCGUUGGAUUAGCUAGUUGGUAGGGUAAAAGCCUACCAAGGCGACGAUCCAUAGCUGGUCUGAGAGGAUGAUCAGCCACACUGGGACUGAGACACGGCCCAGACCCCUACGGGAGGCAGCAGUGGGGAAUAUUGGACAAUGGGCGAAAGCCUGAUCCAGCAAUGCCGCGUGAGUGAUGAAGGCCUUAGGGUUGUAAAGCUCUUUUACCCGGGAUGAUAAUGACAGUACCGGGAGAAUAAGCUCCGGCUAACUCCGU